AUACGGAGGAUCCGAGCGUUAUCCGGAUUUAUUGGGUUUAAAGGGUGCGCAGGCGGCCAUUUAAGUCAGCGGUUAAAUCGUGGGGCUCAACCCCAUUCUGCCGUUGAUACUGGGUGGCUUGAUUGCGGUCGAGGUUGGCGGAAUUCGUUGUGUAGCGGUGCAAUGCAUAGAUAUGACGAAGAACACCGAUUGCGUAGGCAGCUGACCAGACCGCAAAUGACGCUCAUGCACGAAAGUGCGGGGAUCGAACAGGAUUAGAUACCCUGGUAGUCCGCACAGUAAACGAUGAUAACUAACCGUCGGCGAUAGAAUGUCGGUGGCCAAGCGAAAGCGAUAAGUUAUCCACCUGGGGAGUACGUUCGCAAGAAUGAAACUCAAAUGAAUUGGCGGGG
rnacentral:rRNA from 1 species